GGCCUCUGGGUGCUUUUUCACAGGCUGAAUUCUUACAAAGACUGUGCAGAAACAGGAGACAGUAACAGACCCACAUAUGCCUCAGACCAGGCUCCAUGUCUGACCUGAAUUGUGAAAGUAGACACAUGA